rnacentral:snoRNA from 1 species
AGGCAUGAGGACAAUCUUGAAUGUAUCCUUGCAAACACUCCCAUGCUUCUAAAAUGGAUUUUGUCUGCUGCUUUUGGAAAUUAGUAAUAUGGUCUUGCCU